rnacentral:rRNA from 1 species
AUAGCAUGUCAGAAGGCAGACCCGGAGAACUGAAACAUCUUAGUACCCGGAGGAAGAGAAAGAAAAAUCGAUUCCCUGAGUAGCGGCGAGCGAAACGGGAAGAGCCCAAACCAACAAGCUUGCUUGUUGGGGUUGUAGGACACUCUAUACGGAGUUACAAAAGAACAUGUUAGACGAAUCAUCUGGAAAGAUGAAUCAAAGAAGGUAAUAAUCCUGUAGUCGAAAACAUAUUCUCUCUUGAGUGGAUCCUGAGUACGACGGAGCACGUGAAAUUCCGUCGGAAUCUGGGAGGACCAUCUCCUAAGGCUAAAUACUCUCUAGUGACCGAUAGUGAACCAGUACCGUGAGGGAAAGGUGAAAAGUACCCCGGAAGGGGAGUGAAAGAGAACUUGAAACCGUGUGCUUACAAGUAGUCAGAGCCCGUUAAUGGGUGAUGGCGUGCCUUUUGUAGAAUGAACCGGCGAGUUACGAUCUGAUGCAAGGUUAAGCAGCAAAUGUGGGGCCGCAGCGAAAGCGAGUCUGAAUAGGGCGUUGAGUAUUUGGUCGUAGACCCGAAACCAGGUGAU